CGGGGCCGCGAAGGCUCGCUCCCUUUGUGCGGUGGUCGGUCCGGCUGCUCUCGUGCCGUGGUGCUGUGGCGGCUCGAUGCGGCGCCCACUCUCCUACACCGGGGCCCUGCUGGGGAGGGGACGGCAGCCUCGGGUUGAGCAGGAUGAGCUGCCCUUACAGACUAGAGUUUCUGAUGUGCCCGUGAUGGCGCUUUUGGGAGCUGACCCAUCCCAGGGCGGAGGGGGGCGUUAGGCUGCCGUCGCCCCCCCCCCCCCCCCGCUGACCUUUGGUGUCCUCCCAGACCCCUGGUCCUCGCAGGCCGAUCCGCAGCGCUACCAGGGUGCUUGAAGAUUUCCGCCGCUGUUACCCUUGGUUCAAGCUUGAUUAUUCUGGAAGCCUACCUGGGGCGGUGCCCUUUCAAAGGUUAGGUACUAAUCAGAUACUGAAGGGCUGAAGUUUGUAAUUCAUCCUCUUGGAUCAGUGCUAUUGAAAUGACUGUACCCUUGGAAUGGCUCCUGCCACUCGAACCUGCAGUGCAGUCUGUGAAGAGUCACGUCCUUUUUCCUUGGCUGCUAUGGGUUUUGUUCAUGCAGAGGAUGCCUCCUAUCUGGUUGGUGUUGGGCAGAUCCUAGGAACUUCCAUCUAAUUUCCCUGCAUUAAUCUAUGCAAGCAGCUGUCAACUUACUGGAGGAAAGAAACUGCCCAGAAAUUUUGAGAUGCUUAAAUACUUUUAGACCAAUUAGAUUUAUUUAAUAUGAAUACUUGUUUUUAUUAAAAGGAUUCCAAUAAAAUACUUUAAAAUAA